rnacentral:snRNA from 21 species
UAAAAGGGUGCUUGCUUUUCUACGCUUUUGUAUGGCACAUCUGUGCGGCGCCGAGCUCGGUUGAGUCCGGCCAGGUGUCCGUACCGGUGGGGUAUGGCUAUCAAGACAUAUCCAGCACGUAAUUUUUGACCCCGGAAGGCAGUUGACUCGCUCCUCUGCGUCGACGCCUUC